rnacentral:rRNA from 1 species
AAAGCGUGGGGAGCGAACAGGAUUAGAUACCCUGGUAACCCACGCCGUAAACGUUGGGCGCUAGGUGUGGGGUUCUUCCACGGAUUCCGCGCCGUAGCUAACGCAUUAAGCGCCCCGCCUGGGGAGUACGGCCGCAAGGCUAAAACUCAAGGAAUUGACGGGGGCCCCG